rfam:Medicago truncatula strain A17 chromosome 3, whole genome shotgun sequence.
AAACAGCCCCUAUGUUUUGAUUCUUUGACAGUUUUGGCCCCCCAAGGCAAAAUAAAAAUAAAAAAUUUGACACAUGGCACCUCACUUAGGGUGCCACGUCAGCGUUGACCGAGUCAACACUGGUCUGGGGGUUCAAAACUGUCAAAGAAUCAAAACAUAGGGGGCUGUUU